AUAUAGGAGAAUGAAAUCCUCAUUAUUAAAUUGAUCUUCUUUAUUUCAAAACAAAUGGAGAGGAUUCUAAUCCCAGUUCCUAGACAAGUAUGUUUCUCAAUUAACUUGGCGUAAUGCAUGGAAUGGUGGUGGGUGUGCAUAUAGACCUUUGACAGGUUGCCACGAGGAGAUACUUUGGAACAAGACUACAAUCUAUGAGCAUGGGCUGGACCAAAUGUCCCCGUGAUCAAAAUAGUCAUACAGCGAGUUAGAUGGUGAAAAAGGGAUGGCAUCCGCAGGACAAUUCAAGUUUACUUCUAUGCAUAGAACGCCAAAUAACUGGAAACACCAUAACAUUCAUCAAGAGCUUUCCAGCUCAACGAUACCAUCUCACCUAGUUUGAAUCCUUAAAGUAAAUAAUAAUUAAAAUACCAAAAACAACAACACAUUCAACUCGUUACUUUAAGUCCAUGAGGUUCUCAGAUCUCCAAAAUUCAGGACUAGACAAUAAACUAAAAGAUCUACAUCUUGAUGGCUAACCAUAUUGAGUCAGACAUAUAACACGUCCCAGAAUUUCUACCAUUCUUCUUUGUAAGAACCAGAAUUCCUACCAGGGUAACCCAAAGUUGACAAAACGCAGAAUAUAACUUAUGGCCAAGAAGAACCCCUCCAGACUUAAGGCCUCCAUGAUUUUACAAUUCAUAUCCGAAAUGAUGUGCUCCAAGCAUCCUGUCAAAUUUUUUUUUUUUUGAUAAGUAGCAUCCUGUCAAAUUAUUUGUAUCACAUCAAUGUUUACGCUUAUAGUAGAUCUACUACUGUUAAAAAAAGCUACAAAACCUAUCAUUCAUCCUUCCUAUGAUUUCUUUCCGUGCCUGGCUUGCAGGCUGCAGCAGGGGAUGCACUGGU